rnacentral:rRNA from 1 species
GGCAGAGCUGAUAUAUCCACCAGACUCUAUGAUUUUAUAAAUGGCUGCCGUAAUCUGACUGUACUAAGGUACCAUAAUCAUUAGUUUUUUAAUUGGGGACUGGAAUGAAGGGUAUUAACCUUACAGAACGUUUUAUAUAACUGCCUUGAAUUUAAAUUAAAUAUAAAAAUGUUUUUAUAACGCCCUGGGACGAGAAAACCCUAUAAGCUUAAAAUUUUUAAUUUUUGAUUGGGGCGAUCAAAAAAAGAAAAAAAUCUUUUUUUUAUUAAGUGGAACUAAAAACAAACUUACUCUAGGGAUAACACCCAUAUUCAAUUUGGCAGUUCAUAUCUCGAAUUGAGUUUGCAACCUCGAUGUUGAAUUAAAUGGAAGUUGGUUGAAGGGGCUUAAUUGUGCAGUCAGUUCGACUUGUAAA